rnacentral:rRNA from 1 species
GAUAAACGCUGGCGGCGUGCCUAAUACAUGCAAGUCGAGCGAACAGACGAGAGUGCUUGCACUCUCUGACGUUAGCGGCGGACGGGUGAGUAACACGUGGGUAACCUACCUAUAAGACUGGGAUAACUUCGGGAAACCGGAGCUAAUACCGGAUAAUAUUUAGCUUCGCAUGAAGCAAUAGUGAAAGACGGUUCUGCUGUCACUUAUAGAUGGACCCGCGGUGUAUUAGCUAGUUGGUGAGGUAACGGCUCACCAAGGCAACGAUACAUAGCCGACCUGAGAGGGUGAUCGGCCACACUGGGACUGAGACACGGCCCAGACUCCUACGGGAGGCAGCAGUAGGGAAUCUUCCGCAAUGGACGAAAGUCUGACGGAGCAAUGCCGCGUGAGUGAAGAAGGUUUUCGGAUCGUAAAACUCUGUUGUAAGGGAAGAACAAGUACGUUAGUAACUGAACGUACCUUGACGGUACCUUACCAGAAAGCCACGGCUAACUACGUG